GGGGCCGUGGCAGAAAGGCGCAUGCACUUCCCUGUCGAGGAAGACGAUGACGGUUCGAGUCCGUUCGGUCCCGCCA
rnacentral:tRNA from 1 species